CCACAGGCAGGAAGUAUUUCUGACAGUACCUCACAGUGGAGCUCUCCCACCCACCGCUGCACCCCAGCCUGGAUGUGAAAAAGUUGUAGGAAAGUCAGAUCCCAGUCCAGCAGUCACUUCUGAUUCCUAUGUGCCACUCCACUACUCAUCGUUCAAGUUGAUUAACUGUGUUUCACUGUGUCAGGGAGAAUGGUGCCCACCCAAAAUGUCUGUGCCCUAAUCCAGGAGCCUGUGAAUAACCCACUCUACAUAGGACAGGGUGUUUGUUUGUGAUGGGAAUAAACGGAGGCUUUGACAGGGGCAAUAACACCCUGGAGCAACCAGAAGGUCCGACGUAGUUUCAAGAGCUGCAGUCUUCUAAAGAAAGGAAAGUUGAGCUGAGUGGUGGAGAAAAGGUGAUGUGAGAAGAAGGAAGCAGAGACGAAGGCUCCC
rnacentral:lncRNA from 1 species